rnacentral:rRNA from 1 species
UACGAAGGGGGCUAGCGUUGCUCGGAAUCACUGGGCGUAAGGGGUGCGUAGGCGGGUCUUUUAAGUCAGGGGUGAAAUCCUGGAGCUCAACUCCAGAACUGCCUUUGAUACUGAAGAUCUUGAGUUCGGGAGAGGUGAGUGGAACUGCGAGUGUAGAGGUGAAAUUCGUAGAUAUUGGGAAGAACACCGGUGGCGAAGGCGGCUCACUGGCUCGUAACUGACGCUCAUGCACGACAGCGUGGGGAUCAAACAGG